rnacentral:rRNA from 1 species
AGUGAACGCUGGCGGUAGGCCUAACACAUGCAAGUCGAACGGCAGCACAGUAAGAGCUUGCUCUUACGGGUGGCGAGUGGCGGACGGGUGAGGAAUACAUCGGAAUCUACUUUUUCGUGGGGGAUAACGUAGGGAAACUUACGCUAAUACCGCAUACGACCUACGGGUGAAAGCAGGGGAUCUUCGGACCUUGCGCGAUUGAAUGAGCCGAUGUCGGAUUAGCUAGUUGGCGGGGUAAAGGCCCACCAAGGCGACGAUCCGUAGCUGGUCUGAGAGGAUGAUCAGCCACACUGGGAGUGAGACACGGUCCAGACUCCUACGGGAGGCAGCAGUGGGGAAUAUUGGACAAUGGGCGCAAGCCUGAUCCAGCCAUACCGCGUGGGUGAAGAAGGCCUUCGGGUUGUAAAGCCCUUUUGUUGGGAAAGAAAAGCAGCAGGUUAAUACCCCGCUGUUCUGACGGUACCCAAAGAAUAAGCACCGGCUAACUUCGUG